GGACCCGCACAAGCGGUGGAGCAUGUGGUUUAAUUCGAUGCAACGCGAAAAAACCUUACCUACUCUUGACAUACUUGGAAGCUCUUGUAAUGAGAGUGUGCCUUUUGGAGCCAAGAUACAGGUGCUGCAUGGCUGUCGUCAGCUCGUGUCGUGAGAUGUUCCGUUAAGUCGGAUAACGAGCGCAACCCUUACCCUUAUUUGCCAGCGAUUCGGUCGGGAACUAUAAGGGGACUGCCGGUGAUAAACCGGAGGAAGGUGAGGACGACGUCAAGUCAUCAUGGCCCUUACGAGUAGGGCUACACACGUGCUACAAUGGGGAAUACAGACGGACGCUAAGCCGCGAGGUG
rnacentral:rRNA from 1 species